rnacentral:rRNA from 1 species
CUAAGAAUCUUCCGCAAUGGGCGAAAGCCUGACGGAGCGAUGCCGCGUGAUCGAUGAAGGUCGAGAGAUUGUAAAGAUCUUUUCUACAUGAGGAAUAAGUCUGGGAGGGAAUGCCUGGAUGAUGACGUUAGUGUAGGAAUAAGCCCCGGCUAAUUACGUGCCAGCAGCCGCGGUAACACGUAAGGGGCGAGCGUUGUUCGGAAUUAUUGGGCGUAAAGGGCACGCAGGCGGUUAUGCAAGUCUGAUGUGAAAUCUCCGGGCUUAACUCGGAAUCCGCGUUGGAAACUGCAUGACUAGAGUAUUAGAGGGGGAGUCGGAAUUCCUAGUGUAGGGGUGAAAUCUGUUGAUAUUAGGAAGAACACCGGUGGCGAAGGCGGACUCCUGGCUGAAUACUGACGCU